UCUGCGCAUGAGCAUAGCUAGCCAACGUCGCCAUGACAUCGCCUACAAGUCUUCAUACUGUACUGUCUUUGAUAUAAUAUGUAUCUCUAUAUCUAUUACUGGUACGUAACCGUUAUACCGUAGAAUAAGAACCUCACUUGCUACAUUUUGACUACGUGAAAUGUAACGUUACAGGCUGAGCAGAAUAAUACGGAUUUAUCGACUUUCAUUCCGGUCAAAAUGUCUAAACUACAGUUGCUGAACGUGUAUGUUACUGAACGACUAACAGCGGCAGUUGCAGAGAUAUCCGUGGCGGUCGACAGAACAGUAGUAGAGUUGUAUGAAGAAAUCUCCCGUUCUAAGGAGGAGAAUAACCGUCUGCGAAGGCUGUUGGAUUUGGUUUUCAACCCGGAGAUAAAGUUACACAAAGCAGAUGCCCAGCAGCUCACUCUCCCCAUAUUCUGAAGAGGAGGUUCCCCCUGAACAGCAGCACUGUGGGCAGGAGUGGAGCCCCAGUCUGAUUCAGGAGGACCCAGUGCCCACACAGAUUAAAGAGGAACAGGAGGAACUACAGACCAGUCAAGAGGAGAGCAGCUUCUAGGGCUCUUUGAUACCAAAGACUCCAUAUUCACUUCUCCCUGUGUGGAAAGUGACUGUGAUCAGGAGAACCCAUCUCAGCCCUCACAUCUUUACCAAACCCAAACUGUGGAGGACAGAGAGAGGGGUUCUCUACUCACCAACACAUCUAUAGAGAUCAAAAUAGAACCUGAUGGAGAGGAUUACAGAGUAUCAGAACCAGCCAGUGACACUCAGCCCCUCUCUGCAGUAACUCCAGACUGUUCUGCAGCUCAGAGUGAAAACAAGAAAAGUGAUGAUGAGGUGGAGAGUGGAGGACUACAAUCAGGGUCAAAGACACUCGAAUCAAAGAAAAACCGAUUGAGAAUGGAGAAAGCUCUCAUACCAUGCUGGAGGCAGGACGGCCACAAUGCUGCCCCGUUUCACAUCUUCUAGUCAAACGUAUGCUGCUCCUUAUUGUUGCAAGGUUGCCACAGGCCUGAACCAAGCUAAUAUAAGAGGACGUCCAGCUGCUGACGCCAUACACCCUCCAAAGCCACCCAAAGUGGUCCGUACUGGAGUUACCGAUGAUGUCCGCACGGAUCAAAUUGAACACUGGCCAGUGAAAUGUGAGACGCGGGGUCGCUGCAAAGUCUGCCAGAAAAAUGUAACGAAUACCCUCUGUCAGAAAUGUGACGUAAGACUGUGUUUCACUUUUGAGAGGAAUUGCUACAAGUUGUACCACAUGCCUUAGUGCAACAUGUUUACAAUGCAGAAAUAAUUACACACUGACAAGAUUAACAACUUGUUCAAUAUAUAUGAUGCUCCUUUUAGAACUUGGAUUUCAGAAGUGAUGAGUCAGGCUUCAUGAUGAACGUUUAUAUUUCAAUGGUUUUAUGACAUUGUAUUGCUGUUGUUGUAUUUAAACGCAAUGUUACACAUUGAUACACACACACACUCUCUUCUGUCUUUAUCAGAGUCUAAUAUGUUAUGAAUUAUUAUUGAGAUUUUGUGUAUUUAUGAAGAUUUUUGCCAUUUCUUUUGCAAUUCAGGACUUAACUCAGGGUUAUACUUGGUUCACAUUGAAAUAAAGCUGUAAGAUUUGA